rnacentral:rRNA from 1 species
UACGGAGGGUGCGAGCGUUAAUCGGAAUUACUGGGCGUAAAGGGUGCGUAGGUGGCGGGGUAAGUCAGGUGUGAAAUCUCGAGGCUCAACCUCGAAACUGCACUUGAUACUGCCUUGCUCGAGUACUGGAGAGGAGAUUGGAAUUUACGGUGUAGCAGUGAAAUGCGUAGAUAUCGUAAGGAAGACCAGUGGCGAAGGCGAAUCUCUGGACAGUUACUGACACUGAGGCACGAAGGCCAGGGGAGCAAACGGG